GUCACUUUGGCCGAGUGGUUAUGGCGCGGGCCUGCUAGUUUCACAAAGUUUAAAAAGAAGAACACGUGAAAAUAGUAGUCAGCUCGUCUCUUCGGAGGCGCAGGUUCGAAUCCUGCAGGUGACG